rnacentral:rRNA from 1 species
CUACGGGAGGCAGCAGUGGGGAAUAUUGGACAAUGGGGGCAACCCUGAUCCAGCAAUGCCGCGUGUGUGAAGAAGGCCUGCGGGUUGUAAAGCACUUUCAGUGGGGAAGAAAAGCUGCAAGCUAAUACCUUGUAGUGUUGCCAUUACCCACAGAAGAAGCACCGGCUAACUCCGUGCCAGCAGCCGCGGUAAUACGGAGGGUGCGAGCGUUAAUCGGAAUUACUGGGCGUAAAGCGCGCGUAGGCGGCAAGCUAAGCCUGAUGUGAAAGCCCUGGGCUUAACCUGGGAAUGGCAUUGGAUACUGGCUAGCUCGAGUGUGUUAGAGGGUGGCGGAAUUCCCGGUGUAGCGGUGAAAUGCGUAGAGAUCGGGAGGAACAUCGAUGGCGAAGGCAGCCACCUGGGACAACACUGACGCUGAGGUGCGAAAGCGUGGGGAGCAAACAGGAUUAGAUACCCCGGUAGUCC